rnacentral:misc_RNA from 1 species
UGCUGUGGGGUUGUGGGGUAUCACAUGUGUGGUGGCCUGUGCGGUGCUGUGUUGCGUGCGUGUGUGCGUGGUGUGGUGUUCGUGUGGUGGUUGAGAACUGUAUAGUGGAUGCGAGUAUCUUUAUUGUUGUAUGUGUUUGUGCGACGUGGUGUUGUGCAAAGUUGUGUAGUGCGAUCGGUGGAUGCCUUGGCACCAAGAGCCGAUGAAGGACGUUGUGACCUGCGAUAAGCCCUGGGGAGUUGGUGAGCGAGCUGUGAUCCGGGGGUGUCCGAAUGGGGAAACCUGGAAUGUCCGGAGUAGUGUCCGGUGGCCCUGCCCUGAAUGUUAGGGGUGUGGGUGGUAACGCGGGGAAGUGAAACAUCUUAAACCCGUAGGAAGGAAAAAAGUGUGAGGACUGAACAC